rnacentral:rRNA from 1 species
AUGGUGGGGGAAGACGGUAGGCUGGGGAUCGCACACCUGUUCUUUUUCUGCCUCUCCGUCUGGUGGAGGGAGGUGGAUCCCGAUGGAGUUGUGUCGUGGACACAACGGAGAGACAUCGACCUCGAGACUCUUCUUCCCACUAGUGAUUUCACUGAAUCACCAGAGUUGGUUGGCUCCAUCGAGGGUACUGAUAUCAUUUUUGCAACCACAAAUCUCGGCACCUAUGAAAUUGAUCUCAAGUCACUGAAAUCACCUUUGAAGAUGCUCUUGAGCAAGCUGUGCCUACAUCCAAAUAUCAAAUGGACCCUCUUUCCCUACGUU